GCAUUCACUCAGGCCAGGGCUUUAUAUAGCUGCGCACAAGCGACCAGGGAGCUUAGCGAACAGGAGCUGCUAACAGGGAGUUUUGCAAGGGAGUUCUCCAGGUGAAGGAGGAGCACAUACAGCAUCUGUGGGGUAGGGGUCCGGGCAGAGACAGAUGCAUCGUGGAGGUGAAUGCCUGGCUGCGAAGAUGGUGUCGCCAGGAGGGCUUUGGCUUCCUCGACCACGGGAUGCUAUUUGAGGAAGGACUGCUAGGAACAGAUGGCGUUCACCUUUCGAAGAGGGGAAAGGCCUUAUUUGCGCACAGACUGGCUAACCUAGUAAGGAGGGCUUUAAACUAGGUUCGACGGGGACAGGUGAGCAAAGCCCACAGG